UCCAAGAACUGAAAAUGUAUUGUAUAUUAAUAAAGCCAAACAAACUCAAUUUAUGAAUAUUUUUAAAAAGAUUUUUAUUUAUUUAUUUAUUUAUUUUUAUUAGCCUUAUGUAGUCAUGCGUAUAUAAAGAACAGUUUUGUAAAUUAAUUCUUACUUAAAAUGCAGCUGAAACCACUCAGCGUUGACCGGCGCUGCAGCGCUGUUUUCUUCAUGCACUGUCAAGCUGUAUGUGGCGCGAAACACUGUGAACUUUCAACCCUGAAGAUAAUGCAGACCUAACGUCUACAUUGGAAGAAAGCGCCAUCAGUCACAAAUGCUGCUUCGUCAUUGGUUAACUCAUAAGGGGGAGGCUGACCUAACGACGUCAAGUCGUACUACUCAUGAAGUUGGUGUCAGGAAGAAUGGAGGAAGAAACCGUUUCAGGACAAAAAAAGAGGAUUGAAUGGCCCAGCAGGAAAUAAUAAAAAAGAGAUGCCCAAAAGAGCGCGAUACCCACCGAAGAAGAUGAGCUUUUAUGACCCAGACCCUGACUCACCCAGAGAUGACCAAGCUUACACCAUGCGCUGCAGUACGCUGGAUGAUUGGACACCAGUCGAAAAAAGCCUUGAUCAACAAAUGUCGCAUGAGGGGUACAACAUAAAUUCUAGAUGUACUUAGACAUUUGUUGCAGUGUUCAAAGCCCUAAUACUGCUGGGCUUUGAGACUUAAUUUUUGUUUGCUGUCUUAAAAACUGUGUUGAACUUUUGUUAAUAUUAUGGCUGUUGAUGUUAUUAUAGCUAUUUGAAAUGUUGUAAAUUGUUUGCACUUUGUUUUUUGUUGGUGUUAAUUAAAAAAUGUUUGCCCGCCUGUCUGCCUUGCCUCCAUUUGCCUGCGUUUGGGUCCGCACCACUUGCCCGCCCACAUUCUUUGACCAAAAUUCUCAACAGUACUCAAUUUUCAAGUAAUAUGACUGUGUUGGAAUUCACUAAAGCCAUUUGUUCUAGAAUAAUAAAGCCUGAUGGCUUUGGGUGUAUCUUCUGUAUCCCUCUGUCCUGCAGUGACGAGAGAGUAGUGUCCACCAUUGUUUCUUUGGUCCAUCAAGAUGUUAUGAAGUGGAUGAUCUGUGUUUAGAAUGGUGAAUCCAGUCAGGUGGGAGGAGAGGGUCACAUGAUUUAAGUGUCUCGUGUGUGUGUGCGCGCAGACGCGCGCGCAUGGAAGGGAGAGUGAGCGAGAGACUCGUAUAUUUCUCCAUAGUAGCUCCAAUAAUGCUCAUUUUCUUUUUCAAAGGAGAAAAAGGAGUCAUUAAAAACACUGAAUUGAGAUUAGCAAGGUAUCUCCCUUAAGUCUCAAGUAUGAUUCCCUCUAAUUUAUUGUCUCACCUAUUUCUCCUAGUGAAUUUUAGGAGAAACAUCUGAGAAACAUUUUAGACAAAAUAGAAACUGCAAUGAGGCUAAGAUGAGAAUCUCAAAUUUAUCUCCCGAGCUAUAGAAGAGCAAGCUUUGAGCAAUAAAAUUUUCC